GAGGAGCAUCUCGAAAAUGGCGGUCACGUGGACUCACUCAACCUGGGUGUGAUGCUUGCCUGUGUAUCAGGCCCUAGCGGUCAUCACAACCUUUUUGAGUGAGCGAACGCGACUGUUUUAUCGACCAUAUCCA